rnacentral:rRNA from 1 species
CCUGGCUUAGAUUGAACGCUGGCGGCGUGCUUAACACAUGCAAGUCGAACGCGAAAGGGGACUUCGGUCCUGAGUAAAGUGGCGCACGGGUGAGUAACGCGUGGAUAAUCUGCCCUUAUGAUCGGGAUAACAGUUGGAAACGGCUGCUAAUACCGGAUACGCUCAAAAUGAACUUUUUGAGGAAAGAUGGCCUCUGCUUGCAUGCUAUCACGUAAGGAUGAGUCCGCGUCCCAUUAGCUUGUUGGCGGGUAACGGCCCACCAAGGCAACGAUGGGUAGCCGAUUUGAGAGGAUGAUCGGCCACACUGGAACUGAAACACGGUCCAGACUCCUACGGGAGGCAGCAGUGGGGAAUAUUGCGCAAUGGGCGAAAGCCUGACGCAGCGACGCCGCGUGAGGGAUGAAAGGUUUUCGGAUCGUAAACCUCUGUCAGAAGGGAAGAAACUACGUUGUGCUAAUCAGCAGCGUACUGACGGUACCUUCAAAGGAAGCACCGGCUAACUCCGUGCCAGCAGCAGC